rnacentral:rRNA from 1 species
AACGAACGCUGGCGGCAGGCUUAACACAUGCAAGUCGAACGCCCCGCAAGGGGAGUGGCAGACGGGUGAGUAACGCGUGGGAAUCUACCCAGUUCUACGGAACAACUGAGGGAAACUUCAGCUAAUACCGUAUACGCCCUACGGGGGAAAGAUUUAUCGGAAUUGGAUGAGCCCGCGUUGGAUUAGCUAGUUGGUGAGGUAACGGCUCACCAAGGCGACGAUCCAUAGCUGGUCUGAGAGGAUGAUCAGCCACACUGGGACUGAGACACGGCCCAGACUCCUACGGGAGGCAGCAGUGGGGAAUAUUGGACAAUGGGCGCAAGCCUGAUCCAGCCAUGCCGCGUGAGUGAUGAAGGCCUUAGGGUUGUAAAGCUCUUUCAGUGGGGACGAUAAUGACGGUACCCACAGAAGAAGCCCCGGCUAACUUCGUGCCAGCCGCCGCGGUAACAC